rnacentral:rRNA from 1 species
CAGUCGCCACGGGAAUACGUAGGUGGCAAGCGUUGUCCGGAAUUAUUGGGCGUAGAGGGCUCGCAGGCGGUUUCUUAAGUCUGAUGUGAAAGCCCCCGGCUCAACCGGGGAGGGUCAUUGGAAACUGGGAAACUUGAGUGCAGAAGAGGAGAGUGGAAUUCCACGUGUAGCGGUGAAAUGCGUAGAGAUGUGGAGGAACACCAGUGGCGAAGGCGACUCUCUGGUCUGUAACUGACGCUGAGGAGCGAAAGCGUGGGGAGCGAACAGGAUUAGAUACCCGCGUAGUCCCUGUCUCUUAUAC